CUACUGUCUAGGGAUCCCCCGUGCCUCAUCUUUGAUGUUUGGGAGUAAUUUCUGCCUCUUUGUGGAAGUAAAGGUGGAAGCUGUUCCUAGGCUGAUUUGCAGCAUUAGAGGGCAGGCAGCCACAGCUGAAGGGACCAAAGACAUCAAAAACAAGCAUUUUUCAAAAACUGAAGUCAAUCAAAGGAGUAGUAGCAAUAAAGAGGAAGAUUGUUAUCAUGGGGUGAAGAUGAGGCAAUGCCAAGUAUAGUGCCGCGUACAGAGCCUGGAGCAAGGUGAACAAACGCAGGCUCCGGGAUGCCAAGUGACUUCAUAUCAACAUCACCCAGCAGAUUAAGGGAACUGGGCCCAGACUCCUAGGCUCCUGACUACCCAGUCCUGUGCCCAUUCUAGUGGCCACUAUACUCACCCACUGGUUGUAGCCAUAUCUGGCUUAGGCUGGCAACACUUUUGAAGCAAGGAUGAUGCUUUCUUUCUUUUGCCCAAGACCAUUCUUCAUAUAAUAAGACAAUUAACAGAUUGUGGGUUUGAUUUAUAUGUAUGGUGAACUAACACUGGAAUGUAUCUGAAAGAUUGAGGCAGGAGAGGUAGUCAAGGAAGUAACCACGUCUUUCAGACGUGGCAACCGUGAUGACCACCAACACAAUAAGCCCUGGUGUUGACACUGUAGUCAAGCUCAUUCAAGCAAAGCUAUUUUCAGUAGGGAAUUUCCUCUGUAGAGAGCAUGCACAUUUUGAUUUUACCUGUCCUCAAACUGACCCUUUGCUCAUUAUAAUACUAAUAUAAAAAAUACUAAUAUUAAAAAAACCCCUGGGUGGAGAUUUAAGACGUUAAUGAGACAUGCGACCUAUGAAUAAGCAUGUACAGCUACUGCACAUGUGCAUCCAGAGGACCACCCACAAUAUGCUUACUAGUAACAUCUCCUUCCACACCCUUAUGAAUAAUCAUGUAAGAUUCCCAUAAGGGUAGUCUCCCUAGGGCCAGUCCAUGCUUUCUCUUCUUUAUGAGCAGCCUGCCAUGAAUCCUCUCUCAGGGUGCACUGUCUAUUCUGCACCCAGCUUUUAGAAUAUUCUUUCUCUUUUGCAAUAAAUUGCUCUAUGCUGCAGCUCCUUUGCUGUGUGUCUCUUCUUUAAGUUCUUUUAAACUAAUAAGACAAGAACUGAGGUCUCACAACAGCCAUCAACAAGAUUGUUGAAAUUCUGGAAGAGUGAUUUUCCCCAUGGGUAAUACAUUAUUCUUUUUAUUAUUUCAA
rnacentral:lncRNA from 10 species